UAAAAUUGACGUCAAGAAGCAGAAGAAAGC
rnacentral:piRNA from 1 species